rnacentral:lncRNA from 1 species
UGGGAGAGCUGUUUCCUAGCAAUGCUCUGCGUCAUGGAAUGGGAAGCAGGAACCUUUGGAGGAUGGAGACUAACCUUUGCCACAGCAGAGAAAAUGGGAGAUGGAGAUGGAUUGACAGCCCCUCCAAUGGAUAAAAGUUCGCUAUGGAGUUUGGGAAGGUCAUGGACUUUCCUAAUUUGAGCACACACCCUUCACCAGUUCUGGCUUCUGGAAGGUCUACUAAGAUACACAGAGCAAGCCCUAAUCAGGAUGAAAAGGAUUUAAUGACUGCAUCUAUACUUUUCACAAAGAUUCAGAGAGAACCCUAUUUUCCUUCAUUGCACUGGUGGCUUGGGAGAGAAAUUUGGUUAGAAGGCCUAGGGUGGCUGUCAAGAUCCUAUCCUUGUGGGUGGAAAUGUUGUUCUUAAAACAUAAAAGGAUUGCUCAAAGCCUGGCCACAUCACCCCCUGCCACCCUCAGCUCUCAAAAGGGUAUGCCAUCUACCCCAUCCCAAGCUCCUGUUCUGCAGGUGAAUCACAAAUCAUCAGUUUAGGGAAAGCUCAGUUAUAGGAAGAAA